AAGCGUGACCUUAAAAUUAAUUUGUCACCAAGACUGACCUGGACAGACAGGACAUGGCUUUUCUUUGUUAUUUACUCACUUGGCGUGUAGUUCUCCUGUACACCUCACUGCAGACAUCAUGUUUUCCUUACUGUGCCCCUCCUCCACUCAGAAUAGAAAGCAAUAGUUGUCUUUGUACUAUAUUAUAUCAACAAACAAGUGUUUUCAGAGUUCUCAGACUAUCUGACCUCCAGGAAUUUGGUCAGAGAUCACAGAAACUACAAUAUAAUUAAUUGGCAGUUACUAUUAGCAUUUUGUCCUAUUUUGACAUAGUUGUACUUAAAUUAAAAAAAAAAGUUUGAAGAAAUACGAAUAAUUGUUCAGUUCCUCACAGCUCAGUGUAGGCGUUUGCUUAACUCCUAACAUGCUGCCUUCAAUAAAGGUCCUUCCUUUGCAACCCGCUUGGCUGACGGGCUCCAUGAAAUAACCUUCACGGAGCAGGUGUGUGUGUGUGUGUGUGUGUGUGUGUGUGUGUGUGUGUGUGUGUGUUGGUAGUGGUGGUGGGGUUUUAUUGUACACCCCCAUCCCUCAGAGCAGGGGUGGAGAGGUGGGGGUUGGAGGGAGGGGGAGGAGUCGGGAACUUCCUGUGCAACCACACCUCCAGUCCUCACCUCUGUUUCCUAACUGGACUCUGAACUCCCCUCAGUCUAAGCUCCACCCACAGCUUCUCACCUUCCAGUGCCCGAAUGUCCUGGGUAUGUUGGAUGAGUUGUGCUUUUUGGCUCUCUGUCGUUUAGGGCACUUUUGAUCAAAUCAAUCCGCAUUUGACCCUUUGCUGUCUAGUUUCUAGAAUCCCGUUGCUAUGAGCCCCUCCGCAGCUUAUGCUUAAUGUGAUAACGACAAAACAGCCGGGGCUUCUGGAGAAACCCCAAAGUAGCUUCCUUUGUACUCUAGUGAGGUUUCAAGGAAGAGCAGAAGUUACAAGCUUGCCUUCAACCUGCCAUCUGUAGUAGGUUUACCACGUUCUUCAGAUGGCCCAGUGUCUCCUCCGUGUUUACCCUGUACAGGUUGAGUGUGUGUUGCUGGACUGGAGGUCUUGAGCCACGGUUUGUGGCCUGCACUUGUCUUGCACUCAAGUCCUGAAAGGCCGAGAAAACCAAAGCCAGUAUCACAGGAUUCUGGCGGCACCGAUCUGCCCCACGCUAGGGAGCUCACGUGGUGUUCUCCUUUCCUUCCUUGUUCCCUUCCCCCAGUCUUGUUUUGAGAUAAGUAUUUCAUUAAGUUCCCCAGGCAGCUUUGAACUUUCAGAGCUCCUGCCUGGGUCUCCCAAGUAGCUAAGACUAAAUGUGCUUAAUUUAAUGUAAAGCAGCCCUGUGGUUCCCUAACCUCAACCUGCCUCCCACAGCUUCCCUCAGGCAUCUAGAAGAGGGCAGAGUGAGGCAGAGUUAGGAGGAUCGGUAGAUUGACAGCCAGGGAGGAGACUGGCAUCUGGAAAAUUCUUUCUUUGGUGCCGUAAACAUCAAAAUGUGUGGCUUUUUAUGUUAGAAGCCACUCCGCCAUAGCCGUGCCUAGGGAUAGUAUUGGAAAUAUUUAACAGCGGGCAUACUGAGGGCAGUCACCAAUUUGGACCAUCCUUAUCAUUUAAUAAUGCUUACUGACUCACUGGCCACAAGGCUUAGGCUGGGUUCUAGAAUGCUGCAAUUUUCUAUACUCUUCUCUACAUUUAUCACCUUCUAAUUUCCAGAAAGACGCUCUGGGAAAACGGGUUAGGACUACUCUCCUCCAUGGUAUCUUCAUAAAACGCGUGCCGUCACACCAAGUUUCCUUGCACCUAUGGUGAACAUUGGGUGCAGUCCUUACCUCUGGGGAGAUGUCUGACCGCAGGGGAGUGACAUAUUGUGCCAGGGAUGUGCUUUAAAUGAUGGAAUGCAUGCUGUAGAGCUGAGUUUGGUCCCUCGAAACUCAUACGCCCACGAAUGAGUGGGGGUAGGGCUUGUUGGCGUAGGGGUGGGGCAUAUUGGAGUGGAGGUGAGGCCAGGUAGGACAUUCUUAUCAGGCUUGUAUAGAGGAUGUGUCUGCCCAGCUUCUCUUUUGCACUGUGCUUUUUGUUUCUCCACAUCUUAUUGAAAUGUAACAUUUAGAAAAACAUCAUUUCCCCCAAAUGGUUUAUCAGAUGAUUUUUCCCUAUUUCUCUUCUGUUCCGUUAAGCCGGAGUCACGCACGCUGCCCAGGCUGCCCUGGGCUUCUGUGCUUAAGAGAUGUUUUAGAUUUGCCCUCCCCUGCUCCCAAGUAGCUCCCAAGCGUUAGCACACUGCACCUGGUUUCCGUUUGUCCUCUCCAUCAAAGUGAUCAUACAAUGCGGCAUUCACUGUUUCUCAUGCUGGACCAUGCAGUGUACGUUUUUAUUUUGUUUUUCUUUUGUUUGUUUGAGACAUGGUCUCUCUGCAUAGCCUUGGCUGUCCUGGAACUCACUAUGUAGACCAAGAUGGCUUCAAGAACUCACAGAGAACUGCCUGUCCAAGUCUCCCAAGAGCUGAGAUUAAAGGUAUAUGCUACU
ensembl:lincRNA Gm43598 predicted gene 43598